AUUGAACGCUGGCGGCAUGCCUUACACAUGCAAGUCGAACGGCAGCACGGGUGCUUGCACCUGGUGGCGAGUGGCGAACGGGUGAGUAAUACAUCGGAACAUGUCCUGUAGUGGGGGAUAGCCCGGCGAAAGCCGGAUUAAUACCGCAUACGAUCCACGGAUGAAAGCGGGGGACCUUCGGGCCUCGCGCUAUAGGGUUGGCCGAUGGCUGAUUAGCUAGUUGGUGGGGUAAAGGCCUACCAAGGCGACGAUCAGUAGCUGGCCUGAGAGGACGACCAGCCACACUGGGACUGAGACACGGCCCAGACUCCUACGGGAGGCAGCAGUGGGGAAUUUUGGACAAUGGGCGAAAGCCUGAUCCAGCAAUGCCGCGUGUGUGAAGAAGGACUUCGGGUUGUAAAGCACUUUUGUCCGGAAAGAAAUCCUUGACUCUAAUACAGUCGGGGGAUGACGGUACCGGAAGAAUAAGCACCGGCUAACUACGUG
rnacentral:rRNA from 1 species